rnacentral:rRNA from 1 species
UACGGAGGGAGCAAGCGUUACUCGGAAUUAUUGGGCGUAAAGGGCGCGUAGGCGGUUUGAAAAGUCUUGUGUGAAAGCCGCGGGCUUAACUCGGGAAGUGCACAAGAAACUGUUGAAUUUGAGUUCCGGAGAGGAAGGCAGAAUUCCCGGUGUAGCGGUGAAAUGCGUAGAUAUCGGGAGGAAUACCAGUGGCGAAGGCGGCGUUCUGGACUGCUACUGACACUGAGGGGCGAAAGCCAGGGGAGCGAACGGG